CGGAUCCACCUCACUUUGUGUCUUCUGCUGCUCUUAAGAGACUAAUGAGGAAAUUUUCCUGUGACUGCUUCACUUGUGCGCUCCCUCUCUGCAUUGAGCAGCUAAUGCUGCUCAAGGCAAGAGCUAAAGUCAAUUUACUGUACAUACAGAUUACCUGCUGCUUCAGGGUAACCGAUGGGAAAGGUCUCGGGCUGUGAUGAAAGGAGAAGGUAAAGAGGCUCAGCAGCUACAGCAGCUUGCUCCAGGUCAGAGAGCACACACGGUGCUGGCAGUGACACCUCUGCCACAUGCAAGGCCUACAGUGAACACUACAUGAGGCUUUCUGUGCACUCUGGCAGACCCUGGGACUCAGUCCUCACUCCUCACAUGAGCAAAGCCUGGCUCCCUCCAGCUCUGAGCUGGAACUAUUGGGUUUGAACCUCCCACACCUGAAGGCACAAUCCUGCCUUCUGGGCUCAGUUGGGAUGAGCCCUCACAUUUCUCCAGUGGUUCCACAUUCGUCCAAAGAAUUCCUCACCCUUUUUCCUCAGAGCAGCGACCACAAUUGCAAGCAUUCAACCCACCCCCAGCUAACAACGCAAACCUCUGUAGCAACCUUACCACAAACUAAUACUACAGCAAUAAGAUCCUAAUUACUCCCAUCACAUAUCCAGUUUGGGUGAGGCACAGAAGCCAGAGUGAUGAUUUGGAUUCAUGUGAGCAUCAGGCGCACCAGCAUCCCAUCCAUGCAAAGCAUCAGGGGGACAGGAGGAGGACGAAGCAGCACCUCGCUCAGUUCCUAAUGCUCCAGCUUUAUCCCCCUGCUCCUCCUGCCUUCCCCUGCAUUGCACAGCCCUCACUCCUCGCCUGCUCCCUUCUCCUUGCUGCCACUGCUGCCAGCUGCGAGAGCGGCACGGCUUUGUGAGAUGCUGCAGUGCCAUCUUCAGACAGGAGGGCAGCAGCCACAACCGUGGGAUGUUUUUGCCGUACAAAUAAGGAGGAUUUAAAAACAAACAAUGGAAAUCUGCCCACGUCCAGAUCUGUGCAGAGGGAACGUGUGUCCGGAUGCUGGGGAAACAUUUGCAGUUGGCAUGGCAGGAAUGAAGCGGCGCUGCUCCUGCCAUCUCCUGAUCCCAAAGACACGGCAGUGAGCAAGAGCUGAAGCUCUGCGUGGCCCUGGGAAGGCUGACAUGCUCCACUCUGUGCUAAAGCGCAGGGAUGAUGGGAUCCAACUGCAUUAAACAGCGCAGGGGUUCCACGAGGAGGAAUUCUCUCUCUCCCCUCUAUGAUUCAGCACGCUUAGGUGGGAUAUCGCAAUGCACGCUGUAACAUGUUCCUCCUCUUGCACCCUCCCAGCAAGCUGCAGGACAUCAUUUUAUCCCAAUGCCUUCUUCUGCAGCAGCAAAACAACUGGGCUGGAGACCUCACUUCCCAACCAUGCAUCACAUCCCCAUCACCCUGUGCCAGCCCCUGCCGCCUCCUGACUCGAGCUCCAGCACUUUGGGGGGAAAUCAGUGAAGUGAUGAGGCACAAAAGUGUCAGAGAAGUGGGGGGUGGGCUCAGGUCUGCGCCCCUCCUUUUUAACUCAGUGCCACAUCAGUAGCCACCAACAGCACCGGUGGAUGGAGCCCACUGGUAAAUGAUACAUGUGGCUUUGCAGAGCACUAAUCGGAUGGAGGUUGGUGCUAAGAGACUUUCAGACUCUGAAAGCCAGCGCCUUUAACACAUUUUUUUUCCUCGCAGCACUGGUUGUUUGGGCCAAUUUUUGGUAAUUUCAGUAAUUUUGGCCUGCUUACAGACAUCACUGCUGCUGAAAACCAGUUCUGAGCCCAGGAGACUGCAGCACUACGGAGCUUCAGGGAAGGAAAGCAAACGGCCGCAGGAUCUCCCUGGAUGCUGCCUUAUCCCCACGGGCUCUGACCCUCCCGAGCUGCAAAACACAUCUGAAGGAGGGGAUUGGGUGAGCUCAGGAGUGGAUUUCUGCAGCAACUCCGUGAAGCUGAGAGCUUUUCUAGCAACACACAUUCUGGAUCCUCUCAGAAAGGUAUUCACCUCACCUGAAUUUGGAUGGUUUGAAGUUUAAUUUGUCAGACUGAGCUAGUUAACGUGCUUCUCUCUGUAGUUAAUGGAGAGAAAUAAGAGCUGCUAGAGGGCAAUUCCUCUGACCCGUUGUUAACACUUGUCUCAGCAUGAGAGAAAUAGCCCUCUGGAGAGGCUGCCUUCUGCACUGACUGUAAAGAGACAAAGAUGAGCAGCUCGAGCUCUCAAGUCCCAUUUUUUGACAAAUCCCAUAUGAAGUGCAGGUGGGACUGCCCAGCCAGCAGCACCCCCGGCUCACCUCAACACAACUCAAAGCCUUUCACCAGCUUAAAGACCCGGACUUGUCCUUCGAAAGCUCCAUGCUGAAGAGUUGCUAUUAUUUUUCACGUAGACUUCACUGGAUUUGAUUCCCCGAAGAGCAUCUGGGGAGCACUGGGGGAACAGAGAAGGGCUACAGCUCUGUGCUCAUCCCUACUGCUCCGGGGUGAAGGUGUGAGGAGCUGUGUGGCAGCCCCAGCCCUGAGCAGAGCAUAUGGUGGGCACAACCCAACCUGUCCCCACCAGCGGCCCCAGCCCAAGGGAUGC
ensembl:lncRNA